rnacentral:rRNA from 1 species
UACGGAGGGGGUUAGCGUUGUUCGGAAUUACUGGGCGUAAAGCGCGCGUAGGUGGUUUCGUCAGUCAGAUGUGAAAGCCCGGGGCUCAACCUCGGAACUGCAUUCGAUACUCCCGCGCUAGAGUCAUGGAGAGGUGAGUGGAAUUCCCGGUGUAGCAGUGAAAUGCGUGGAUAUCGGGAGGAACAUCAAUGGCGAAGGCAACUCACUGGACAUGUACUGACGCUCAGACACGAAGGCCAGGGGAGCGAAAGGG